rnacentral:rRNA from 1 species
AGCAGCCGCGGUAAUUCCAGCUCCAAUAGCGUAUAUUAAAGUUGUUGCAGUUAGAAAGCUCGUAGUUGAAUUUCGGGGUUAGUAGGUUGGUCAUGCCUCUGGUAUGUACUGGUCUCACUGAUUCCUCCUUCCUGAUGAACCUUAAUGCCAUUAAUUUGGUGUUGCAGGGAAUCUGGACUGUUACUUUGAAAAAAUUAGAGUGUUUAAAGCAGGCUAACGCUUGAAUACAUUAGCAUGGAAUAAUGAAAUAGGACGUUCGAUCCUAUUUUGUUGGUUUCUAGGAUUGACGUAAUGAUUAAUAGGGAUAGGUUGGGGGCAUUAGUAUUCAAUUGUCAGAGGUGAAAUUCUUGGAUUUUAUUGAAGACUAACUACUGCGAAAGCAUUUGCCAAGGAUGUUUUCAUUAAU